UUGUCAAAGGCGCGCUUAAGCCCUGAAGCGAGGCUCAAAAUAUAUUGAGCGCUUCACCUCGCUUUGUGGACGCUUCAGUGUUGCAUAAAGGUUCUAAGGCAUGCUUUUCCUUGCCAAUGAGUGUAAUCCUGAAAAGGCGACACUAAAUAAUUGAUAUUUCACUUUAUCGUAAUCUUUUUUCAAUUUCUUUGUCCAUAUAUUUAUUUUUCAUGCUUACAUAUACAUACUUUUACUUUUUCUCCAGUUGCGCCUUUUUUCAUUAAAUCCCACCCUUUAUUUGCGCUUAAAGCCUCAACAGACCUUAGAGCUUUUUUGCGCUUUUCGCCUUUGAUAACACCGGGUAGGGGUAAGGUCUGCGUACACACUACCCUCCCCAUACCCAACGGUGUGGUAUAAUACUGGGUAUGUUGUUGUUGUAAAUACAAUGUGGUGAUACUUAUAGGUAAAUGCAUCAAUUAAACAUAAAUAAACCUUGCAAGGAAGCACAAUUAAAAAAAAAAUGAAAUGGGAAUUCAUAGUCUACUGCUAAACAAUUAAAAAAGAAAAAAAACUAACCUUGUAAAUUAGGGCUCAGAGGCUUGUAUCACUUUUAUGAGUAUCAAAACCCUAGUUACACCGUAAACACAUAAAACCGAGCAUCAUCAGAUUAGAAACAUCGAAAAUUCAGAAACAAAACAACAAAUGAAGAAACUUUAAAAGAAAAACAAAAUCAAAACAAUUACUAAAAGGAAUAUUUGAAACCAAAAAGGGGCUACGGGAAACUUUUCUAAGGGCGGUGACGUCAAUUCAAUUUCCUGUUGAAACAGUGAGGAUCUAAAUUAGAGAUUAGGUGUUUGGGAUUGGAAAUUGUUGAUGAAAAGAAGUGAUUUUUCUUGUUUAGGGUUAUUGUUACGAGUGUACCGCGAAGAAGAACGGAGAGAAAGAUUGCGUGUGACGACUGACGAGUGGACGGCAGAAGAAGAUUGAGAUCGACAGUCUAUGAUUCCUAUAUUACCCUUACUUUUUAACCAAAAUUACUGCUAGAUGGGCUUUUUCAUCAAUGGACUCGCCACUCUUAGGCCAUUAAUUUCUCUUGUUUCGUAAAAAUUUCCUCCGGAAGCCACUUGGGAUUUGGC
rnacentral:lncRNA from 1 species